UACGUAGGGUGCGAGCGUUGUCCGGAAUUAUUGGGCGUAAAGGGCUCGUAGGCGGUUUGUCGCGUCGGGAGUGAAAACACGGGGCUUAACCCCGUGCCUGCUUCCGAUACGGGCAGACUAGAGGUAUGCAGGGGAGAACGGAAUUCCUGGUGUAGCGGUGAAAUGCGCAGAUAUCAGGAGGAACACCGAUGGCGAAGGCAGCUCACUGGGACGGUACUGACGCUGAGGCGCGAAAGCGUGGGGAGCAAACAGG
rnacentral:rRNA from 1 species